ACCGGAACGAGCCUUCGGGCAGCGUAGACAGGUGCUGCAUGGCUGUCGUCAGCUCGUGUCGUGAGAUGUUGGGUUAAGUCCCGCAACGAGCGCGACCCGUGUUGCUAGUUACAAGUGUCUAGCGAGACUGCCGGUAACAAGCCGGAGGAAGGUGCGGAUGAUGUCAAGUCAGCAUGGCCUAUAUGUCCAGGGUUACACACACGGUACAAUGGCUGGUACAAAGAGAAGUGAAAGGGAGACCUGAAGUGAAUGUCAUCAAAGCCAGUCAUAGUUCGGAUUGCAGGCUGCAACUCGCCUGCAUGAAGUCGGAGUUGCUAGUAACCGCAGGUCAGCAAUACUACGGUGAAUACGUUCCCGGGCCUUGUACACAC
rnacentral:rRNA from 1 species